rnacentral:lncRNA from 1 species
GGUACGAGCGCUGAGUCUUUUGAAUAACUGCUCGUGCCUCUACUUAUACCUCUGCUCGUAUUUAUUGCAACUCGUGCCUCUUUUGCUAAUCAUCACUCUUUGACCAGCCUCCGUGUCAUGACACAUCAUCUUCCAAUCACUUCACUAUGUAAACUCAAUUUUCCCAAUACAGUUUCUUAUGUGUAGAAAGACAAAUUUUUCCUCGUCCUGGCUUUAUCCCUGUCUUAGUCUCAGCCAUCUAGGUAUGAAAAUAAAUUAAGUACAAAUAACUUCACUAAACUAGAAGAAUAAUUACAUAAUAAAUUUAUUUAAUCAGUAAAAUAAAAUAAAUGAGGUAACAAUGAUGUAUAGACUCACGUCCACUAAACUGACUUUUGCAAGUUCUAAAUGCGUAGUCUUAGAUAUUAUCUACAAUCAAGUAACGAAAUAAUAAGGAAUAGAAUAUAAAAUAUAACAGAAUGUAAAGUAAAGCACGAUAUUCACAGACCAAUUUCCAAUGUCUACAUAAGUGAAAUACAUCAAGAAGGUCAUAUUGAUUAGGAUCUCUUUAGCUAAUGUUGCAUCAAAGCCUAAAGCAUUUGAAGUAUCUUCAAAUAGAAAUCCUAUUGUCAUAACUAUAACUCACUAUAAUUCUUCCCUCUAUCUAGAAUUCAUCUGAAAUGACUUUGUGAUGAAAAAAAAAUUCCAUUGAAUCAAGUUUGCGAAAUGCUUACUAAGAAUCAUAUUUUCAUAACUUCUAUUCUUUAGAUGAUGAGAAAAGGAUUCCAAAUAAUCAAGUUAGCAAACUGCUUACAAAGUUCUCUAAAAGAAUAUUUCUAUUUGCAAAUGCCCAUUUUUCUCUUGCAGUAGCAACUAGUAAUUUGUUGAGAGCCAUAGUAACCAUUUAUUUUAGAUUGUUAAACAGUUAAUCUAAUUUUUUCAUUCUUAAAUAACAAAGUUCUAAUUUUCAUGUUUAAAGAUAAACACCCAAAGCUAGAUAUUUCUUGUUCUCUUGAUUCUAAUUCGCUUCACUUUCAUCAGAAAAACAUUUCUUAGUUAAAGCUGCUAAACUCAAUCAAAUGUGAGAAAUAAGCAGGCCAUGAACAACAACUACAACUCAAUCUAAAUUAAAAUAAGAUUAGAUCUCUACAAUUCAAAAAAAUAACUUUUCAAUCAUCUAAUGGAGACUCUGGAGAAGAGGAAAAAAUAGAAAUAAUACUAACUAGACAACUAGCGCAAAAGAGGAUCUAAUAAAUUACUAGAGUAGCAAACAAACGUUGAUGGAGGCUGAAGUUCCUAAUGAGAAUACAUGCAUUCAGUCAUUAGCCAUAUGUGGAAAAGAAAGAAAAUAGGCAUAGAGAGAGCUAGAUAUUAAUAAAUUGGGAAAAAGUAUAAAAAAAGGCCUUUCUUCCGAACAUUCAAGCACCAUAGCACAAAGAAACAAUAAGUUGCAAUUCUAUACGUAUCCUCAAACCAGAAUAUUAGUUGAAUAAACUCUGUAAAAUCGAAGAGCAUAAACAUCUAAAAAAUUUACAAAGCCAAACUAGAACUUAAAUUCUCUCACCAAAUAAGAAAUCAAAACGCGAAAAAGAAAUCAUAUGAAACUUACCGAUUUACCAGAUCCAAUUUACAAAACUGGAUGAAUCCUAAAAGUGGAGGGGGGGAAGAGGUGUUAAAGGCGGAAGUUUCUAGAUAAAGGGGUUAAAGGCGUUAAGGGUUUGGGAAAAGGAGGGAAAGGGGAAAAUGUGGGCGGAAAUAAAGGCGCUCUUUUUUUAUUUUAGGGUAGCAGAGGCUUAUUUGUGUCACUUAAAGGAACCUCCCCAAAUUGAUACAAUUUGUGGAGAUAGUGAAAACCUCCUCAAUAAAACCUCCGCAAGUUGUCCGUUUUCUUAUAGUGAUACAGCCAAUGUAUACAUAUAACAGACGCUCAAAUCGUUGAACUCUGAGAUGUCGGACUGAAAGGUCCAAAUGCUGCCGGAGGGAACAGCCCACCCGAAGUUGAACUGUCGAAUAAAAGAAAGCAAAUUAGCACAGAGAAACAAUAUUUUUGCAAUUUACCAUGCAUAAAACAUGCUGAAGUUAAUCAAAUAUAGAACAAAAACUUAGUUACAAAGACAAAAACUUCACCUCUAGAGCUGAAGUUCCCCAGUUACAAAACAAAAACUUCAGCAUACGGGGCUGAAGUUCGCCAGUUACAAAAACAAAAACUGUUCGCCAGUUACAAAACAAAAACUUCAGCUCUAGAUCUGAACAUCAGACCCGACUACUUGAAUGCUACGCCCGACUACUAGAAUGCUGAAGUUUUGCGUGAUUGUCUUUGCUAGCUCAGCCCCGUAUGCUAAAGUUUGGGUUAAUUCUUUUAAUCGACAGGUUAUUUAUGCAAAUAGAGGUUAUUACGCGCGAACGGGGCUACGGGAGGGAAAUUUCAAACAAAAAUGAAAAGCUAAAGAAAGGGUAGACGGGUUUGAGUUGCCGACGAAAUUCAUACACAGGCAAACAAAUUUGCCUUCCGCCAUACCCUUUUCUCGCCAUUGACGCACCCGUAAGUAAGCUUUCCAUUUUCUUUAGUUUUCUCUUCUCUCUUCGUUGCUUGCUUG